rnacentral:tRNA from 1 species
UCCUUGGUGGUCCAGUGGUUAAAACUUCUUGCUUUCAUUUAGGAAGGUGCAGGUUCCAUCCCUGUUCAGGGAA